AUUUCGAUCGACCGGGCCCGGACCCGAUGAUGACGUGUUGUGUUGGGGCCGAAAGGAAGGCCGUCCGUCAGGGCGGCAACAGAGGAGGCGGAGGCGCGGAGGCGGCAGAAACGGUUCGCGUCGGGUGUGCAGCGCCGCCUGCGGUGAAGAGGGUACCUACGCCUGACCUGUACCCGCACGGCCCGCACCCUCUUCACCUGGCGCUUCGUGCAGCCUAGAAGGCAACGUCCCUACGGCCAGUUCCGCCGCGACGACGAGUUAAUGCUGGGCUGGCCUGGUAGAGCGGAGGAGGGGUAGCAUCGUCUCCUUCUCCCUUGUUUUAAAUGACGACAACUAGACGUUGGCAAGUAAUUGAAGAAAUCCUCCUUGUUAGACGUCUGCCUUAAGAAAAGAUAACCUGGUUUGGUUACACUCAGAGGGCGUAAUACUCAGAUUUGAAAGGAGUAAAUCCAUGCCUAUUAAGCUGGUUCAAUUGAAAUAAUAGACGUCGUUAUAAAACUAACGUUUAACAUGUAAGAAUCUAAACCAGUGAAGUUAGGUGCUCGUGACCAAAACACGAGCAACACAAUUGUGUUGUGUCGGUCCCCCACUUCCUCAAUAUCAAUACGUCUAACCCCGAAUGAACAAUCAAAGAUACAUGCAUAGGGGUACAACUUGAAAAUUAAAUGUCUUUAGUCAAUAGUUCAAAGGAGAAUUCGGAAGAAAUCAUAUGUAGAACCUGGCAGUCUUAAUUAAAUUAAGCGUAACCAAGAAUUACGUAUCCAUACUACCAAGACAACCAAGCCGAAGUGUCCGUUACCACCGACAACUAGUCAAACGUACCGUGAAGUUGGCCUCUUGUGUAAUUGAAGAACACCACAUCUGAGUACCUGAAUGUCACAUCACAUAUUGGACUGUACGACGAAUUACAAUGACAACAUAACACUAGGCAUCCAUACAUCACGUAUUGAUUCUAAGAGAAUUUACGUCAACUUAAGUUAGUAUAUUAGAAACGUAUCAUUAAAUUCUAGUCAAAGAUACAUAGGUUAACGAACGAAUCUAAAACCCUUGAAGUACAUACUUGAAGUGUGAUCAACUCGUCAUACACAUUGAUAAUAUUCUAAAGUGUUACUAUUUUACCACUUUGACAAUUAAAAAAUUAAUCUUUACCAUUUAGUUUCGCCGGAAAACUUCAAGAAAUCAUCCCCACAACACGAAGUUUAUAUAAACUAUAGGUUAAACUAUAUUCGAUUUGUAAAACCUAUAAGUAACAACAUCAUGGUACAAACUGUACAACCUCAAUAUAUAUAUAUCGGUACAUUGGAAAGCAUAAAUGGGAUAACAUAUUCCCCAAAGCACGUAUAUAAGGUG
rnacentral:rRNA from 1 species